GGCGCGCAUCUCUGUCCUCCGCUUGUGAAGCGACUGCAGGGGAGCCAGAUGCCCGACUGUGAGCCGCUGCCUGUGGAUACACAUCCCAAAUGCCAGAGCAGGCGAGAGCCACAGACACAUUUCACCAUAUGACAGGGAAGAGGACAGAAUAGACGGAGUAAGAUUUUUUUAAUUUCUGAAUAUAUAACCUUUUACCUCCCUUGUUGUCUCUGUUACAACCUCUGCUUCAAAUGAAGAGCUGCCUUGGACUUGGAGUACCGGGCAUCAGUAGAACACAAAUCCGUUAUCCCACUCAGCCCCUGCUGCUGCGGUGCUGCUGCCUGUGAGUGGCUCAUCUCAUUGCAUUGGAUUAUACAGCGUGUCUAUAUGCGCAAAACCAUGGAGAUUAUAUGACGUGGAUUUAUUUUUUGAACAAAACUGGACAUCUACAAAAGCGACGUGUCCUGUUCUUUUAAUUUUCUCGCCUUGCCUUUUUAUUUUGCGUUUUUCUGUUCCGUUUUCUCUUUUGAUCUAUGGCUACUUUAUGAUUUCAUGUCCUUAGCGAUCGUUCCUUAUUUUCAUUUAUUUAUUUUUUUACACUUGUUUUUUUUUGGAGACGCAGAAGUGGGAUGCCUCGCAGAGAACAUUUGUGGGGAGAAGAAUCCGCGCAACAGCGAGGGUGAAUGAAUGAUAGUCUCCCUCUCCAUCUGAGACGUGCCAUGGAUGGGAAACUUAAUUUGUAUCCACGGAACCGAUCGGGGAAUAUCCUUCGCUUCAAAUAACUACUGCUGACAGCGAUCAGGACGAAUGUCAUAGGAUGAACACUGCUGGUGGGGUGUGUCUGUCUGUGCUGUCCUCUCUCCUGGCUGUGGCUGGGGCCCUGGCUGCCGUGUCUGCCCUCGCUGUAGCUCCUCUCUCUGCCCUGACUGAGGCUGCCAACAGCGUCCCUAGCACCGGGGCAGAGGGGGCCCCCUCGCCCAUCUCCUCACCAUGCUCCAGCCUUGUAGCUGGGGUGCUUUAUGGGUCUUUCUCCCUAAGGGAGCUCUUUCCAUCCAGGGCGCCGGGCUGUUCCUGGUCCCUGGAAAACCCUGAUCCCACCAAGUACUCCCUCUACCUCCGCUUCACCCGGCACCCUGUCAUCUGCCGAACACACUCCCCCAUGCUCCUCUCCCUUGAUUACCACCUGGCCAAUCAAAGCUGUCCCCUCCACUUACAAACAGCCGCUGCUAAGGAUCAGCAAAUCAUUGAUUUGUGUGGCAGCCAAUCCAACUCAGAGGGACCGUACUCGUUCCUACAGUUUGAUAAGAACUUCGUCCAGCUAUGUCUAACGAGACAUCCAGCCGCGGACGAGCCCCAGGUAUCUAAGGAAAUACUGGAGCUGAGGCUGGUAGAGGUGUUGCUCAUUAACAACGAGAACUCCAGCCAGUUUACCUGCGGCGUGCUCUGCAGAUGGUUUGAGGAGUGUUUACGCACAGGUCACAAUGGAGACCAGGAGGUUUCUGACGGAGAUGGUUGUGGGAUGACGCAGACGGGAUGUAUCUGUCCGAACCACAACAUCAUGGCACCACCUGUUCCCUUGCUCCCGGAGACGCCCCACAGUUUCAGCAACGGCUCGGUUCUUCCUGAUGACUGCUGCGUCACUGAGCUGCACUCCAAUGAAGCAAUCGUCAUAGCACCCCGAGAUGUUCGACAAGACCCAUUUGAAGAUGAUGAUCUGAAGGUGAAGACCCAGAGACCUCGAUCAGCUGACCAGCCAGGUGUGUUUCAGGCACAAACUGGCGACCCUGCGGCAGAGGAGUGGUCUCAGUGGAGCGUGUGUUCUCUUACAUGCGGGCAAGGCUGGCAAGUGAGGACGCGAUCAUGCGUUUCCUCUCCCUAUGGGACACUAUGCAGCGGAGCCCUGCGGGAAACACGCAUGUGCAACAACACCGCUUCCUGUCCGGGCGAUCCGGGCAUCUCGGGCUCAGUGCAUGGGCUUUGGGAGGAGUGGUCGUCAUGGAGUCUGUGCUCUGUGACCUGUGGGCGGGGCUCCAGGACUCGAACCAGGAAGUGUGUAAACGGAAGCGCGGCAAUGGCUUGUGGAUAUCCCGAGACUCAGACCAAACUCUGCAACAUAGCAGUGUGUCCUGUGGAGGGCCAGUGGUUGGAGUGGGGGCCGUGGUUGAAAUGCAGUGUGACCUGUAACACGGGAAGCCAGCAGAGACAGAGGCGCUGCAGUGCGUCUGUGCACGGCUGGGCUGAAUGUAAUGGGGAUCAUCAGGAGAGCAGAGAAUGCACCAACCCUUCCUGCACUGGUGGAGGUAACUGGGGCACCUGGAACCACUGGAGCCUCUGCAGCAAGACAUGUGACUCGGGUUUGCAGCACCGCUCCAGAUUGUGUGAGGGGACCGGAGACCAGGGCUAUCCAUGUGAGGGCUCAGGAGAGGAGGUCCGGGCCUGUAAUGAGAAGAAGUGCCCUGCUCCUCAUGAGAUAUGUAACGAAGAUAACCUUCUCUCUAUGUCAUGGAAAAGGGCCUCAGCUGGAGAAACUGUCUACAACAAGUGUCCAACUAACGCCACAGGAUCUGCUAGUCGUCGUUGCAUGCUGGAUAAUAAUGGAGUUGCUUUCUGGGGUCCUCCGAGCUUCGCCAGAUGCGUCUCACUUGAAUAUAGAUAUUUACAUUUAUCUUUACGAGAGCAUCUCGCGAAGGGUCAGAGGACCCUGGCUGGGGAGGGCAUGUCUCAGAUCGUAAGGACUCUCCUGGAGCUCUUGCAGAGAGGGAGCUACUACAGUGGCGACCUUCUCUUUUCCACGGAGAUCCUGCGAAAUGUGACGGACACCUUCAAAAGAGCAACCUACGUCCCAGCUCCCGACGACGUGCAGAAACUCUUCCAGGUAGUCAGCCUCAUGUUGGACAUGGACAAUGUGGAGAAAUGGGAGGACGCCCACCAGGUCGCUCCCGGUGCUGCUUUGCUGAUGAGGAUAUUAGAAGAUUUCAUUCACCUCAUUGGAGAAGCCCAGAAGCCUUUCCAGAGUUUCUUGGUGGUUACCAACAAUCUUAUGAUAACCGUCCAGAGAGAGCCAGUGUCAGCCGUUUCCAGCGAUAUCAACUUUCCAGUGAAGGGCCGGAGAGGGAUGAAGGACUGGGCCAGAACAUCAGAGGACAAGCUCUACAUCCCUAAAGAGGUCUUCAUCAACCCGGCUGAAGAGACAGAAACAGAGUCAGAUGCUCCAAUGUACUAUGUCAUCGGAGCCAUCUUGUACAGGACGUUGGGCACCAUCUUACCCGCACCAAACGCCCCUGCUGUGAUUAACUCGAAGAUCCUUACCGUGACAGUACGACCGGAACCACAACCCAGCAAGCCCAUGGUGGUGGUGGAGCUAUCACCACUUUUCAAUGGUACAUCAGAUCCACAGUGCAUUGUCUGGGACUAUGGCAACCCGGAAGCUGGUGCAGAAAACUGGGGCACAGAAGGCUGCCAAACGCUCGCGUCAACCACUGUCCACACCAAAUGCCUCUGCAGCAGGAUAUCCACCUACGCCGUGUUAGCGCAGCAAGCUAAAGACCCGGACAUGGGUCCUUCCAGCAUGCCCUCUGUGCCCCUCAUGGUGGGCUGCGGGGUCUCCUGCACCGCUCUGCUCAUCCUGCUGCUAAUCUACGCUGCCUUCUGGAGGUACAUACGCUCGGAGAGAUCCAUCAUCUUGGUGAAUUUUUGCCUCUCCAUCUUGGCCUCCAACUUACUGAUUCUGGUGGGACAAUCUCAAACGCUCAGCAAGGGCCUUUGUACUGUGACUGCCGCCUUCCUGCAUUUCUUCUUCUUGGCGUCCUUCUGCUGGGUGCUGACGGAGGCAUGGCAGUCCUAUCUGGCCGUCAUUGGCAAAAUGAGGUCACGACUCAUUCGCAAGCGUUUCCUGUGCCUCGGCUGGGGUCUCCCAGCUCUAGUUGUAGCAGUGUCAGUGGGUUUCACCAGAGCGAGAGGUUACGGCACAGCAAGCUAUUGCUGGUUGUCCUUGGAGGGCGGUCUGCUUUAUGCCUUCGUUGGGCCGGCUGCUGUCAUUGUAUUGGUGAAUAUGCUCAUUGGAAUCGUGGUUUUUAACAAGCUCAUGUCUCGAGACGGCAUCUCAGACAAGUCUAAAAAGCAGCGAGCGGGUGUCCCAGCGGAGGCGCGUAGCCGACUGCUCCUGAAAUGCUCCAAGUGUGGCGUGAUCUCGAGCACCGCUAUGUCCAGCCAGACUGCCAGCAGCGCCAUGGCGUCUCUGUGGAGCUCCUGCGUAGUUCUCCCCCUGUUAGCAUUAACCUGGAUGUCAGCAGUGCUGGCCAUAACUGACCGGCGCUCCACACUUUUCCAGGUCCUCUUUGCCGUCUUUGACUCCGUCCAAGGUUUCGUCAUCAUCACCGUCCACUGUGCAAUGCGUCGAGAGGUGCAGGAUGCGGUGCGCUGUAGGAUGGGGGGAUGUAAAGAUGACAGCGAAAACUCCCCAGACUCCUGCAAGAAUGGACAGGUGCAGAUCAUGAAUUGCUCUAAUGUGAACUUCAGUGGGCAGCAGUAUGGCUCUCUGCGUAUCGGCACCCCCCCGUGUCUGUCCAGUUGCCACCAGCAGUUGCCACCUGCAGGCCACCAGGCCUGCCAACAAGCCUGUUACCACAGUCUGCCCCGCAGCAACAACCAGGGGCUCGAGCACAGCCAUGCACACGAGCAUAGCCCCAUCCUGAACAACACCCACAACCACAACCACGCUCAUAACCACGUCGCCCACAACCACAACCACAUCGGAAGCUUUCCAACGGAUUUUGAGAAGGAUGUGGACUUGGCAUGUCAAACAGAGAGAGGACACCCAUUCAUAUUCAAGGAGGUCAACACGUGUAACCCGGCCACCAUCACUGGCACCCUUUCCCGCAUCUCCCUGGAUGAUGACGAGGAUCCAAAGCUAGCAGCCCAUCAGGAAGGGGUCAACUUCAGCUCCCUCCCCGGGAACAUCCCCCCUCCCAACCUGAUCGUACAGGUUCCAACCCUGAGCGGCCUGAAUGAGCUGAGUGAGACGCCCCUAAAGAAGGACGUGAACCUCGAUCAGCAGAGACAGCAUGGGCAGCAACGUAGCGGCGCUCCAAUCUACCUGUGCACCGAGAGUGGCCUAGGGUGGGCUCGACCGCCCCCCUCCUCCAACACCUCCCAGGAUGGAAGUGCCUGUAGUGGAGGCAGUGGAUGUGGGAGCGGAGUAAAUGGAGGAAGUGGGGAGGGAGAUUACAUGGUCUUACCUCGUAGGACGGUUAGUCUCAAACCUCCAGCUCCCUGCUCUCAAGGAGGAGGCCUGGGUCUGGGGGGCGAGGACAAGCCCCUCAACAUCGCAGUGGAGGAUCCUCCCUUCCCCCCGCCUCCCUCACCCCUGACCCUCCACCCAGCUGAGAGUGAGGCGUACCCGGCGGAUUUUGUGCCGUCAAGCGUAGGUGACAUGAACAUCGCCAUGAACCUCAACCGCUCCUAUGGGACGAUCAAAACCAUGCCCCACGGGCACGCCCACAUGAUGGCUCCGGGUGGUCUUGUACACUCCCACGGAGGACACAUGCACUCCCAUGGGCAUUCGCUCCAGCUGAAGCAGGGCCAGAGGCCGUCGGUCAGACAAAUUCUGACAGGGGGAUCCACAGUGGAGAGAACCAGGACCCUGCCACGCAACUUGGGCAGCACCAAUGCCAACAGCAGCCACUCAGCAGGAUCCUUGGAGAGGAAAAGAGUACGGUACUCUGAGCUGGAUUUUGAGAAAGUGAUGCACACUCGCAAAAGACAUUCUGAGCUGUACCAUGAGCUCAACCACUCGUCCAAGUUCCACACCAUAGACAGGUAUAGCAGGGACCCAGCCAUGUCCACAUUCAAGUAUGAAUGUAGCCAGACAGUCAACAGAACCAUGGGCAUCCAAGUCAACAAAGGUAAAGUUAACCCACUUACCCACAACCACCUGUCCUCCCCCAUCAUCUCCCAAAAACAUCCCGACACAUUGCUCACCCACAUCUAGACACAAUUUCCAUUCCAUGGUCCAAAUGAGGGGGACUCUGAGUGGCAGAGAGUGGGCCUCAUCCACCAACACUGUGGCGGAGGCUUCUUGAGAUGGCUUUAGAUGUUUGUGCUGUAGCAUCUUGUUCUAGCGAGUUCUAUCCCUAAACAAACUCCCCUUCAUGUAGCUGUGCCAUGCUUGUAGCUUGUAGUUUUUUCUCUCGGAAAAAAACCUGUCACUUGCCAAGUUGCCUGUAACCUCAAGUGUUGGGCGAUCAGGCAGAACAUUUCACAUUUCUAACUGUCACACCUUUGGCAAUCGUUGGAUAUUUGACUUGUGUGUUACUGCAACAUACACUUAAUUGUAUCCUGCUGUGCCUAAAAAUUCAAAAAGCAACCAUUGAUUCCUCUUCCUUUAAAAUGGUGCCGUUGUUCAGGUACAGUAUCGGUGAAUGAAACCCUGUGUUGCCAGGUCCAUAACAAACACUAAUGAAGCACAAACUUUGAUUUUUACUGGUUGAAUAUUUGAAUCACGUUCGUUUCUUUGAAUGCUGAUGAGAAAUAUAAAGGCACUCAUUACGGUGAUGAAACAUUUCCAGAAACAAAGUCUGUCAGACAUUCAUUUAGCCUAUAACUAAUGGCACACAAUGUUCAUUUAGUUUCCCAGGCCUGACAUCUUUGGCUUUUUGAGAGGCUUUUUCUGUGGUGUGACAUUUACAAAAGCUGCAUGUUGAGUCAUUAAAGUGACAAAUAAAAGCAGAGAUAUAGUCGAUAAGUUCAUCUCAAGAUAUACAUCUCUAUUUGUCAGUUUAAUCUUUACCAAUAUAAUAUUACAUUUUGAUGUUUGAUGUGUUCUUUAGGGUUACUAAAAACUAAAGCAGAUUAAUGUAGUAGGAGUAAAAUGUACUCAAUACUCGCAGUAUUUACAUCCACUGAUGCCACUGAGAAUAUAUGAUCUUAUAGAAUUAAUCUGUUGUAUAAUAAUAAUGCAAAUUAAUAAAUGCUUUCCAUAUAGGCAGAGCUAAUGAGCACUUCACAUAUGGAGUUAAAUCCAUCCAAAGGCAAUGUGCUUCAGCCUUCAAAUGUUUUUAAUUUCAGCAGGGGUUUGUUUUUUUCAAUGUUACACACCACCACCCGAACACAUUUAAACACUUUCACAAACAGCUCAAUUAUGUCUGCUGCUUUUUACAUUUAAGAAAUAAACAUACAUGUGUGCACUGCGGAAGCUUUGCAGCAGGGCACAAAAAGCUCCAGUCAAAUCAGCCAAUAGUAACCACGUUGUAGGUGCUUCUCAAGGGAAUCAAUUUGUGCCCAGAUAGUCCUUCUCCUUUGUUGCACUAGUGUUGCUGGACUCAUCAUAAACUCACACCCCGGGCAACCAACAAGGAAAUUGUGUUACCUCAACUGCACAUGUUAAAAAAAAAACCAGACCUCCCAAACAAAAUCACAGCACCCCAAGCUGCAGUUUUCUGGCAGGAACAUAACAAAAAAACGAUAGAUAACUCAGAGCUACAGCAGGGGAAACAAGGUUUAUGUUUUUAAGCCUCAGGCCGAACAUACAGAGUCAGCAAUGUCCACUUUAUUGCCUAGCUUUAACUAUUUGAUGUGUUGUGUUAACACAUACAGUAUCCAAUCAAUAAUGCAGAUAGUGUAGAUAGCACUUCCUUGCACUAAUAACCACAUUCGUUAUCUUCUUUCAACAUUAUUUAGAAAACAUGAGCCACGAAGCCUCUAGCACUGCACAGUAGAUUCACAGUUACGUUUUUCGAAUCAGAUCACUCCACACCCACAUACCCUCGUCUCUUUCAUCCCUUUUCUAGUAGUUGCAGACGCUAUUUGUGGUGCGUAGCAUGUGGAAUCCUUCCUGCAGUCUCUCUGCCCUUGCUUUGUCAGGUUGUCCUCUAAUCGUUGACAGGUUAGGACGAUAAAAGUCAGCUGUUCCAACACAGUUUGAAAAUGUGUGAAAAAAACCUGAGUGUUUGAUCACUGGUUUCUGCCCAUGCGUGCAUAUUGUGUGUGUUAUAUGUUGUAGUGAGAGAGUGGGGGGGGAUUGAGAGAUGGAGAGAAAGAAGGGGCCAGGUGUAAGCACGAAGCAACAACUGCCUGUUCACCUGCAGAAGGUGUGGGAACAAUGCUUUUGUUUCAGGGCAGAGUUGUCAGUGACUGUGAUCCCCCCCCCUCCCCUUCUUUUCUCUUUCUUUUUCGUCUUUCUGCCUCUCUCUCGUCACCCCCUCCUUGUCUUCUCCCUCCCAUUUCAUCACCACAGAGGGAAAAGCGAUGGAGCAUUUCGUCUGCCGGAGGUGAAAAGAACUCGUCGAGUGACAAGUCAACCCCGGAGGAGCAGUGCUCGUGGGACAGCUUCAAGACCAUGACCCCGGAGCUGUCCAUCGUGCCUGGGGAGCAGAAGGACCGGAUGGAGCUGCACAAUAAGAACUGGGACUCCUCCUCCGCUAACACGCCCGACUCAUCCGAGGGAGACUUCCAGACUGAAGUGUGAACACACACACGGAAACACACUCACUUGAAUACGCACUCUCGAACUUCUGAAAAGCUAUACAUAACUACAUGAUUUCUCGCAAAGAUCUCACACACACUGCUCCCCCGUCUCCUGCAAUGUGCUCUGUUCGGAUGCGUUACUGUAUUUGUUUACUGCUGCAGUGGACAGACAUGGAAAGAAGACUGUUCUACCCUAUAUUUUCGCAAAGACUAUUGAAGAAAGAGAACAGGGGCUCGACAUGUCUGGGUACUGAAGAAGAUUUUUAAAUGAACUUGAAAAAAAACUAUGAAAAACGUAUUUCUGAGAAAAAAAGUCUUGAUUUUAUUCUGGAGAAAAAAGAAAAUCUCUUUCAAUUGUUUGAGGAUUUGUGGGGGGGGGAAGAAAAAGAAUAUUUCUGCACCAUUCAGUUCUUUUUAUAGCAAGGGAAAACAAUCUCAAUGAGGUUUCUCACGCUGGUAGCCCCCCCUAGGCACCCUACUUUCAUUUAUUUCCUUUUCCCUUCUAAUGAAUGACAGAAGCAUUCUAUCUCUCAGUCUUUCCUUUUUUAUUUAAGUUUUUUACUUUUCAUCAUUUCGGAUUGGAUGUGGGAUGUGCUCAUUGAUAUGUGCUAUCCUCUGCUCCAGUUCAACAAUCCCAUCCAUCCAUUCCUCUCACAUUCUGUGUCAACAAUGUGUUUCCCCUUUUUUCUGUAUUUUCUAUGGUUUAGUUAAAAAAAAAAAUGUCCUCCUCUAUGGUUUGAAACUUUUAAAUGAAAAAAUAAUAUGAUUGAAACAACUGUUCAAGAAGAAUUGAUUUAUUUUCAGACUGGUUUCAUUUCUGCUGCCUUUUUUAUUUCCUUCAUUUCCUGUGAGAAUUAACCCAUGUGAAUCUUUAAUACAUUGAGAACACACACUGUAUAUGUGAGCUUACUUUCUGAGGGUGACGUGUGGCGCAUGUUAGCCAACCUAGAAGGAUGGCGAUCGUCAUGCUGAUUCUCGCAUCCCCUUUUUUCCCCAGUGCUUGGAGAUAAAAGCCUUUUUAAAGAUUGCAGCAUCUGAAUCCAUUUCAACCAUCACCAAAGUGAAAAUAGAAUAUAUCAGUCACUUUCAGCCCAAAUGGACGUACCAUCAUGCCGCUUAGUGAACCGCCAAUCCGUUUAGCUGCUAACUCGCUCUUCCCCUGUUGCUGAGGGUUUAUUGUUUGCUUCCCUCAACCUUAGUAGGUGUUUCCACUUACCCUAGAACCCUUCCAUUGAUUUAAAGACAAAUGCCUUUCUUUACUUUCGUCUACCAUUUUUUUAUUCUUCUCCUGCUGCCAGCCAUGCAUCGUGCUACCAAGAGGCAUGACAUCUUAAUGUUAGCUGUGAAGCAAGAUGUAUAAUUCUCAUCCACAUGGACACCUGUCCCUGUCAUUUAAUCCUGCACUUGUGAGCACAGCGGCUGCAGAAAGAGAGUGUGAUAGAAAGACAGAGUCACAGAGGUUAUGAGGCUACAGGGUGGCAGACGAGGCGAAGAGAAAACAGCCACACAAAAAAUCAGCCAGUGGUGAGGCUUCCUGCUUGAUAUUCCACAUCCGUACUUCGGUCGCUGCGAGAGGACAACCAGUUUCCUGCUGUUGCUACAUUAGCACAUCGUCCCCCCCACACACACCGGCAUAGAGAAAGUGCCAGGGUGCAGGAUGCAUUCAAUAGAUGGUUCGAUAACUUUUCUGUCUAUGCUCAAUGCUGCUCUCAUUAGUCAUUAGAAAGAGAUGAGGGACAAUUUAAGGAGAAAAUAGUGCAAGAGACAAUGGUAGCCAAGGAUAAAAAAAGAUUCAAACAUAUAUACUUAGGAAGCUUGAGGCAGGAAGAGAUGCAGAUUAAGAAGGGGAGCUCUCAAAACUGUAAUUAUCCGGGGAUGGCGAUUUGUCCUGACAUUUUCCGAUGCAGCCCUCAAACCAUCUGUUUAAAGAUCCCUAAUGUGGGAGUAGUGCGGCGUGGCGCAGAUGGUGAGACAAGAGUGCGGCUCUCCUACCCUUUCAAGUUAAUCAGCUGAUAGACAAACAUAA